UGUUCUAAUUGCUGGGCUUUGUGCUGACUGAUGUGACUGCCAAAGUAUCUACUAUCAUUAACAUUAAUGUCUCCUUUGCAGGUCUCAAAGCAAGGCAGAGAUUAAUCAAUCAACUUAUCAUCAAUUUACAAUGAAAUGCCUCGGCUUUCUUCUCUGGACUUACUCCUGCUGCAUUUACAACUGCUGCAGUUCCUACUCUGCCCUCUAGGGACCAUGUGAAAGCACUGGCUGUAAUUUAAUGGAGGAUGAGGAUCUGCUUACAAAGUGAUGAACCUAUGAUGUCAGAGUGUCAGACCCUACAAAGAAGAUGUAGCUUGAAGAAGACCUGGUGCCUGGACCAACAGAGAAGACGUCACUCAGCCUUGAGUAUAGCCUCUGCCUUAGGCUGAAUGAGAGAAUAAAGGAGACUGAUCUUCUAUUUUUGUGAUAUGUUUGAAGCCCCUCUGGUGGCGAAAUGUUUUAACAGCACAGGAUGGCUUCUUACACACUGGGGAAUGAAAGGCAUUUUAAUACGAUCCACAUGGAUGAAAACCUACUGGAAAUAUAUGCAAGCUGUUUGGACAAUUCUCUGUGAUUACCCCCCUGCCUUUUAAAAGAAGCUUCUGUCUAGCACGGUGCCAGAGGAGUAGGAAUCAUGGUCUGCAAUGAAUGAGUAAUGAUUUACUAAGAACUCUUUGUAUUAAAGUCGAGUUUAAAAUGAUGUCCCAACCCUAUCUUAUCCUCCCAAAUGAGAUAGCGUCUUUGGCUAUUCUAUAAUUGCAUCCAGGCAGUAGUGAAGUACGGUCCCUAUAAUUCAGAGGGGAGGAUAAAUAUUUUAUGUAAAAAGUGGGAUGUCUUAAUAAAUAAAUGAAUAAACUAGAGACCAUGUGGUUUCAAUAAAGCAGAAGAAUUCUCAUGUCUCUACCUCCUCAGCGAGGGAUAUCAAGGACAAGCCAAAAUUAUCUUUCACUCUGUGUUUUCCCUUGUAAGAUCCUCCAACACCAGACUUACACUAGGGAUGGGGGAUCAUAAAUAUAUACUGAAGAGUUUUUACAGAGCAGCAAUGCAUAUGUUAUAUUAAAUGAUUGUUCCCUAUGAAACUUUGCAAAUUAUUUAAAACUGAAAAUAAA